rnacentral:rRNA from 1 species
AACGAACGCUGGCGGCAGGCUUAACACAUGCAAGUCGAGCGCCCCGCAAGGGGAGCGGCAGACGGGUGAGUAACGCGUGGGAACGUACCCUUUGCUACGGAAUAGCUCCGGGAAACUGGAAUUAAUACCGUAUGUGCCCUACGGGGGAAAGAUUGAUCGGCAAAGGAUCGGCCCGCGGUGGAUUAGCUAGUUGGUGGGGUAAUGGCCUACCAAGGCGACGAUCCAUAGCUGGUCUGAGAGGAUGAUCAGCCACAUUGGGACGGAGACACGGCCCAAACUCCUACGGGAGGCAGCAGUGGGGAAUAUUGGACAAUGGGCGCAAGCUUGAGCCAGCCAUGCCGCGUGAGUGAUGAAGGCCUUAGGGUUGUAAAGCUCUUUCACCGGAGAAGAUAAUGACGGUAUCCGGAGAAGAAGCCCCGGCUAACUUCGUGCCAGCAGCCGCGGUAACAC